rnacentral:rRNA from 1 species
GACGAACGCUGGCGGCGUGCUUAACACAUGCAAGUCGAACGAUGAAGAAGAGAAACGCGAACUUCGGUUCAAAUUUCACUUCGGAUUAGUGGCAAACGGGUGAGUAACGCGUGAGCAACCUACCUCUUACAAAGGGAUAGCCUCGGGAAACCGUGAUUAAUACCAUAUGACACAUUCAUAAGGCAUCUUAAGAAUGUUAAAGCUACGGCGGUAAGAGAUGGGCUCGCGUCCCAUUAGCUAGUUGGUGAGGUAACGGCCCACCAAGGCGACGAUGGGUAACCGGCCUGAGAGGGUGAACGGUCACAUUGGAACUGAGACACGGUCCAAACUCCUACGGGAGGCAGCAGUGGGGAAUAUUGCACAAUGGAGGGAACUCUGAUGCAGCGACGCCGCGUGAGCGAUGAAGGAAUUCGUUUCGUAAAGCUCUGUUCUAUGGGAAGAAAAGGACUGUACCAUAGGAGAAAGCCCCGGCUAAAUACGUG